UACGAAGGGGGCGAGCGUUGUUCGGAAUCACUGGGCGUAAAGGGCGCGCAGGCGGCCUGCUGCAUCACCGGUGAAAGCCCCGCGCUCAACGCGGGAGGGUCCGGUGAGAUGAGCAGGCUGGAGGCAGGGCGAGGGCGGUGGAAUUCCUGGUGUAGCGGUGAAAUGCGCAGAUAUCAGGAGGAACACCGGUGGCGAAGGCGGGUCUCUGGGCCGAUACUGACGCUGAGGAGCGAAAGCGUGGGGAGCGAACAGG
rnacentral:rRNA from 1 species